AUACCUUUCUCGGCCUUUUGGCUAAGAUCAAGUGUAGUAUCUGUUCUUAUCAGUUUAAUAUCUGAUACGUGGGCCAUGUGUCCACUUUGAUAUUAAAUUUAUUUUUUGUGGGGGAGAGCCCACCACAGUGGCUUGCCACUGGGGCCCUCACGCGUCGCCCAGGCGUUGCACUGCUGCCCGGGCCUGGCGCACCCCAA
rfam:Oryza meridionalis cultivar OR44 (W2112) chromosome 2, whole genome shotgun sequence.